rnacentral:rRNA from 1 species
UACAGAGGGUGCGAGCGUUAAUCGGAGUUACUGGGCGUAAAGGGCGCGUAGGCGGGUAUUUAAGUGAGAUGUGAAAUCCCUGGGCUUAACCUAGGAAUUGCAUUUUAGACUAAGUAUCUGGAGUACAGUAGAGGGUGGUGGAAUUUCCGGUGUAGCGGUGAAAUGCGUAGAGAUCGGAAGGAACAUCAGUGGCGAAGGCGACCACCUGGACUGUGACUGACGCUGAGGCGCGAGAGCGUGGGUAGCAAACAGG